CUGAAUCUUAUUUUAACCACAUUUCACGUUGUUAUCUCUAGUUAACAACUUUUUUUGGGGUUAAGUGAUUGUGUAUCAACUUUAACCAUAUUUGUCAUUGUUUAGUGUUAACAAACGCAGUCAGCUGUUUGGUGACAAUUAUUUUUGUGGUUAAGCUAACAGCAUCUAGUUUUUCUUUGUUAAGCUGUUGUUUACUAAUUUUGCUGUGAAGUUAAAUUGAGAAAAUUGUGAAGAUUGUGUUAAAAAAUGGCAUUUGCAUACAUUGCAUCAUAUUUAUAUGAUACCGAUAAUGAGCAGCCAUUAAACGUGCCAAGAAUUGACCGGCGGACCGGAUCAAUACAGCCUAUAUUGCUGAAAAUGUUCCUAAAUCUAUUACAAAACAACCAACCCAACAGCGCCCUUACACUGUCCGGGCGUUUCGCUUUAAACCAAUAAACAACAAUUGAAUUUGUGAGUGCCGGUGCUGUUGUGAAGGGUUAUUCAUGGAUACCAUAAAAAGAGAUACAAACCUACAUCAAUGCUGUUGGCAUAAUACUCGCUUCUCUGCCUGAGAAAUGUUGGAAGGCAAAUGAUCCCCAUAGUGAGCCGCUGAUACCUAUGUGUCUUCAGUUGGUAAUUGCAUAGUUACUGCCGCGAGUGCGGUUCACAAUGCUCUUUGCCGCAUUCUUUUUGGCAUGGUCGUUUGUUGAACCAGCCCACAUAACAGACGCUCGUUUGGCAAGUUCUAUUUCCGUUGCUUGAUAAUGUGCGUGCGCUUUCCAGUACGGGAAGCAGUGAGAAGGUGGAUGGUGCUGCCUUGAGUAAAAAUUGUGAAGACUCGCUGGCCGCACUAAAAUCUCUGCAAGAAAUUAUGCAUGACAAUGCAGACAAAUUGGCGUCACUUGCUAACGAGGAAACAGCGGAAACAAAGAUGAGGAAUUUGCAGGAUUGCAUGGAAUAUUUGGCUAAAUACCGGCAUUGAAAGCACAAAGAUCACAACGAAAAACAACCAUGCCAAAGAGGAGUUUUAUGUGCCUAGUCAGGCAUUUUUAAUAGCGCUAACACAAAUUUUCUAGCACAUACAACUGCGGGGGUGAUACAUCAUUGAAUUCGAAUGUCUUCACUGGGCGCUUGGCGGUUACUGCUUUACUACAUCGAUUCCAAUACGUUUUGAAGCGUUUCAAUGACGACGAACGGCUGAUGGGCGCCGUGCAAGGGUCAACCUAGCUCAUUCCGGGGUAUUGGUCGUAACUAUCAGUGAAGUGCACAGCUGCCAAAUGCGCAUUAAGUCAAUUAAAGAACCAGUUUGAUAACAAAGAAGGAUCAUACCACAACAUUACCGGCACCCUGACACUUAUUGAAUAAGUACCAAAUAAGUAAAUACAUAUCGUCACCUGAAAUGCAAAAAAGACGUAACAAUAUCGUAAAUGAGAUUGAAAAAGUCGUGACUAAUAUUUUCAUUAUUUUUUUCAUAAAAUGAUGUGGGAAGUUGUAACUCGUUGAAAUCCAUUAUAUAAAUCAAAAAGUAAAUUUUGAAUUUUUUAUUAGUUAUGACUUUUUGCAUUUUAACAAUGAUUUUUGUUACGUCUUUUUGAGUUUCAGGUGACGAUAUGUUUUUCUACAAAUUUAAAGCAAACAUAUUUUUAAUGACUUAACAAAUUUUUCACCAUUUUAUGUACUCUGAAUGCAUGUAGACAUUGAAAUAACUGGGGUAUCGACAUUAUAAAUUGAUUGGAAAUAUCUACCCGAUAUUAUUUAGAGUGGUCCACGAAAUAAUAGGAAUGCGAUAUUUUGACUCCUUUUAUUUUGUGCACAACUGUUAUGUACAUGCACAACUGUUAUAUAAUGCAUUAUUUCAACUCAUUUAAAAGUUAAAUACGGCAUUAAUUGUAACUUUUUUGUUGUAAGUUUGUUGUGGAAAGAAAAACUUAUUUAACUUUUUAUAUUUAGAAAAAUAUAGUGAUAACUUGACACACGUAAUAAAAUUGUUGUUUUGAAUCAUAACCAAAUUACAUAUAUUCAACUAUAAGUACAUAUUUCAGUUUCACUAGAAAAUUUCAGUAGCCGGUAAGAAAACUAAUAAAAUAAAAGCAAACUA
rnacentral:lncRNA from 1 species